UUCAUGUAUAACAUCAGCAUAUUUUUGUCGCUUAUUUUGAUCUUGUUAGCAAGAUAAUCAAAUGCUUUCUAAAUUUUAUAUAAGCAAAAAGCACUUUUCUUCAUAUUUAAAUUACUGUAUAGCGAUCAAAUAAGUGUUUAAAGGAUGGUCUUGAUUGCAAAGACGCAGUUUCCAGUAGGGCACAAAAGUCAAGUAUCACUGACUGCGGUCAGCAAGCUGGUGGGUGACAAGUUUGAUCAGUCUGCGUAGGGACCGAAAGUGCGCGGUAUCGGUCCUCGUUAAACUGCUCUAUCGUAAAGUGUUCGACUUCACGCGCAGGCCGCCGUGAUAUCCAAGAAGGGGAGUUAUCCCCUCUACAGAGGAUAAAAAUUGCGAUGGCACGUCUUCGCAUUAUCCUCCAGGAUGUUUCCCAGACUGUCGACAAUUGCCAUUAUGCAGCUCAUAUUAUAAUUAAAUUCCAUUAUGCGUAAAUAAAGUACCUACCUACCUA